AGUGAACGCUGGCGGCGUGCCUAAUACAUGCAAGUCGAACGGAGUGGCGCACGGGUGGGUAAUGUAUACUAGUCAACUCUACACUGGAGGGCGACAGUUGGAAACGGCGGUUACUAAUCCCUACUUUACGUUGAGUCUAUAUAGGUUCAGCUAGCUGGUGAGGGAAUGGCUCACCAAGGCGAUGACGCAUAACUGGUCUGAGAGGAUGAUCAGUCACACUGGAACUGAGACACGGUCCAGACUCCUACGGGAGGCAGCAGUAGGGAAUAUUGCUCAAUGGGGGAAACCCUGAAGCAGCAACGCCGCGUGUGUGAAGAAGGUCUUCGGUUUGUAAAGCACUUUAAGUUGGGAGGCGUUACCAACAGAAUAAGCACCGGCUAACUUCGUGCCAGCAGCCGCGGUAAUAC
rnacentral:rRNA from 1 species